rnacentral:lncRNA from 1 species
UUUCUUUUGAUACAAGAUUUAUUUUAUAAAUUCAUUUGUUAAUAGUCUCUUUUUGUCCUUAUUACAUGUCAUCAUUCGUCCACCAUCUCGGGAUCUUUCAGCGGUAAAUUUUAAGCAGGAGAGGUCUUUAUCAGAUAUGUAUUUCCAAGUGACAUCUUUUCACUCUUGCAGUAUAUUUAACUCUGAAAAAAAUCAGAUUAUAUUAUAUAAUAAAUAUAAAUUGUAUGUCCUGAAAAGAUAUUUUAAAUUUGAGCCACUUUCAAUUUGUUUCUAGAAGCAUUAAAAAUAAAUAAAACCAUAAUGAC